rnacentral:rRNA from 1 species
GGCAAACUCCGUGCCAGCAGCCGCGGUAAUACGGAGGGUGCGAGCGUUAAUCGGAAUUACUGGGCGUAAAGCGCGCGUAGGCGGUUAUUUAAGUGAGGUGUGAAAUCCCCUGGGCUCAACCUAGGAACUGCAUUUCAAACUGGAUAACUUGAGUAUGUCAGAGGGUAUUGGAAUUUCCCCGUGUAGCAGUGAAAUGCGUAGAUAUGGGAAGGAACAUCAGUGGCGAGGGCGAAUACCUGGGAUAAUACUGACGCUGAGGUGCGAAAGCGUGGGGGAGCAAACGGGGAUUAGAUACCCCUGGUAG